rnacentral:rRNA from 1 species
GCACAAGCGGUGGAGCAUGUGGUUUAAUUCGACGCAACGCGAAGAACCUUACCUGGGCUCGAAAUGUAGUGGAAUCCGGCAGAAACGUCGGCGUCUAGCAAUAGACUGCUAUAUAGGUGCUGCAUGGCUGUCGUCAGCUCGUGUCGUGAGAUGUUGGGUUAAGUCCCGCAACGAGCGCAACCCUUAUCUUCAGUUGCUACCAUUUAGUUGAGCACUCUGACGAAACCGCCUCGGAUAACGGGGAGGAAGGUGGGGAUGACGUCAAGUCCUCAUGGCCUUUAUGUCCAGGGCUACACACGUGCUACAAUGGCCGGUACAAACCGCUGCAAACCCGCGAGGGGGAGCUAAUCGGAAAAAGCCGGCCUCAGUUCGGAUUGGAGUCUGCAACUCGACUCCAUGAAGCUGGAAUCGCUAGUAAUCGUGGAUCAGCAUGCCACGGUGAAUACGUUCCCGGGC